UCCAGCACGAUGCAGCACGAGGAGGGUCCCCAGCACUGAACCUGUGGCCCCAAAAGGGGCGCGUGGGAUCGUGCUGAGCCGGGUGGGGAAGCGCCUGGGGAGAGACCCCCCCCCAUGCCAAACUCCCCACGGCUGGGGCCCUCUGCCCCCCCCCACCAGCCCCACUGACUCCAAGGGGCCGUGGCCUGCGCAGGAAAUGCAGGUUCGGGCCUUGUGCAUUUCACCCCUUUAGUCACCUGGGCCCCCCAGUCACGGCGAGGAGAAGGGGCUCGCAGAGCAGAUCCGGCUGCGCCAUGUGUCCAUCUGGCCGCCUGGCGCGUGGGGGCCCCCGUGUCAGAAACAAAUCCCAGGCCGUGAUCUCGUGGGCUGGGGGCACCGGGCGCGGCUCCCCCCUCUACCUGCCCCGCUCAAUGCGACGGGCUCCCUGCUGGCGCCGCGGGGACAGGAACGGGGCCCACGGUUUGUGCCAUUCAGGCUGGUGCAGGGAAGAUCCAGGGGUCGUGUCCGGGGCUGAAGCAGCCGGUUCCCCAAUUGCCCUCGAUCCCCUUGGGUCUCAGCCGCAUUGCCCCCCCGCAGCGGAUGGAUCCGGGUGCAGAUGCAGCCCACUUCACUGGCUGCCGCCCAGGAGCAAACACCACUGGUUUUCCCAGGCCAUGUCUCCUGCCCAGCUCGCCAUCCAGGAGCGGGAGAGUGGAGCAGCUGGAAGAAUUCAGGGGGGCAGAUCAAAGGGGUUGCAUGAACAUGGACUCGUCCAGCCUACUAAGUUCUUGGCCUCCGUGAUUUCUUGUGACAGUGAGUUCCGCAGUCUCAUGCCAUGUUAGAGUCACGUUGACACCGUGCCUGGAAACCGUAGCUUCACCAGGAGCUCGCGCUGCAAAACCACUGAGAGGUGCAAAGCUUGUGGGGAGGAAGCGAGAAAGGAGAUUAAAGAGCCUCACGACCACAGGCGCUCAGGGCUGCAUCCU